GCAGCCAUGCCGCGUGUGUGAAGAAGGCCUUCGGGUUGUAAAGCACUUUCAGUCGUGAGGAAGGUGUGUAGUUAAUAGCUGCAUUAUUUGACGUUAGCGACAGAAGAAGCACCGGCUAACUCCGUGCCAGCAGCCGCGGUAAUACGGAGGGUGCGAGCGUUAAUCGGAAUUACCGGGCGUAAAGCGCAUGCAGGUGGUUUGUUAAGUCAGAUGUGAAAGCCCGGGGCUCAACCUCGGAAUAGCAUUUGAAACUGGCAGACUAGAGUACUGUAGAGGGGGGUAGAAUUUCAGGUGUAGCGGUGAAAUGCGUAGAGAUCUGAAGGAAUACCGGUGGCGAAGGCGGCCCCCUGGACAGAUACUGACACUCAGAUGCGAAAGCGUGGGGAGCAAACAGGAUUAGAUACCCUGGUAGUCCACGCCGUAACGAUGUCUACUUGGAGGUUGUGGCCUUGAGCCGUGGCUUUCGGAGCUAACGCGUUAAGUAGACCGCCUGGGGAGUACGGUCGCAAGAUUAAAACUCAAAUGAAUUGACGGGGGCCCGCACAAGCGGUGGAGCAUGUGGUUUAAUUCGAUGCAACGCGAAGAACCUUACCUACUCUUGACAUCCAGAGAACUUUCCAGAGAUGGAUUGGUGCCUUCGGGAACUCUGAGACAGGUGCUGCAUGGCUGUCGUCAGCUCGUGUUGUGAAAUGUUGGGUUAAGUCCCGCAACGAGCGCAACCCUUAUCCUUGUUUGCCAGCGAGUAAUGU
rnacentral:rRNA from 1 species